rnacentral:rRNA from 1 species
GCAGUCGAGCGACGGACGAGAGUGCUUGCACUCUCUGAUGUUAGCGGCGGACGGGUGAGUAACACGUGGGUAACCUACCUAUAAGACUGGGAUAACUUCGGGAAACCGGAGCUAAUACCGGAUAAUAUUUAGCUUCGCAUGAAGCAAUAGUGAAAGACGGUUCUGCUGUCACUUAUAGAUGGACCCGCGGUGUAUUAGCUAGUUGGUGAGGUAACGGCUCACCAAGGCAACGAUACAUAGCCGACCUGAGAGGGUGAUCGGCCACACUGGGACUGAGACACGGCCCAGACUCCUACGGGAGGCAGCAGUAGGGAAUCUUCCGCAAUGGACGAAAGUCUGACGGAGCAACGCCGCGUGAGUGAAGAAGGUUUUCGGAUCGUAAAACUCUGUUGUAAGGGAAGAACAAGUACGUUAGUAACUGAACGUACCUUGACGGUACCUUACCAGAAAGCCACGGCUAACUACGUGCCAGCAGCCGCGGUAAUACGUAGGUGGCAAGCGUUAUCCGGAAUUAUUGGGCGUAAAGCGCGCGUAGGCGGUCUCUUAAGUCUGAUGUGAAAGCCCCCGGCUCAACCGGGGAGGGUCAUUGGAAACUGGGAGACUUGAGUGCAGAAGAGGAGAGUGGAAUUCCAUGUGUAGCGGUGAAAUGCGCAGAGAUAUGGAGGAACACCAGUGGCGAAGGCGGCUCUCUGGUCUGUAACUGACGCUGAGGUGCGAAAGCGUGGGGAUCAAACAGGAUUAGAUACCCUGGUAGUCCACGCCGUAAACGAUGAGUGCUAAGUGUUGGGGGGUUUCCGCCC